ACAUAAGUUUUUAACUAUACAUUUUUAUCUUGUAUACGUAUUUUGUACAGCACAUGUUUAUUUUCCAUAUAU